AUACAUAUCUCCUCCUAUCAGAAAAUCAUCUGCUAAUAUCCGUUCUUAUUGUUUUAAUAUCUGAUAUGUCCUUUAUUUGAGGACUGUAUAUUAAAUUGAUUUUUGAAACAGGGGGAUGGAAUAGGAGCUUGCUCUAUCCACCCCAUGCAUCGAUCUGGUAUUGCAGUGCCUCCAGGAACGGGAAAAAAAAA
rnacentral:snRNA from 1 species